GCUCUGGUGGCAAAGUGGUUCAAGCGUUCAACUAUUAACUGAAAGGUUGUGGGUUCAAAUCCACCAGCCGCU
rnacentral:tRNA from 1 species